rnacentral:rRNA from 1 species
UACGUAGGGGGCGAGCGUUGUCCGGAUUUAUUGGGCGUAAAGAGCUCGUAGGCGGUUGCGGAAGUCGGAUGUGAAAUACCGGGGCUCAACUCCGGGGCGCCAUUCGAUACUCCGCUGACUCGAGUCCGGUAGGGGAAGGUGGAAUACCUGGUGUAGCGGUGAAAUGCACAGAUAUCAGGUGGAACACCGGUGGCGAAGGCGGCCUUCUGGGCCGGUACUGACGCUGAGGAGCGAAAGCUAGGGGAGCGAACAGG